GAGCUGUUCUAGAGAUAACAGGCACAAAAGAAUUUACAGUAGGUGUUGCACUUUUCAGCAGUCACUGUGUCUAUCAGAUUCUACUCAAAACAUUCCCUUUUUUGCAUACAGAGAGGGGUAGAGAUUCUGGCCAUGAGUCACAAGUGGUGGCCUGCAUGAGUGCACCACUGCACCUCAGCAAGCCCCAGGAAUCACGAGCUUCAAGAAAAUUAUGGCAGAAAGGACUGAUGGAGCAGAGGACCUGGAUCAUGAUCCCGCCUUAGAAGUGGAAGCUGGGCCUCAGCAGACCCGCACAGCCUUCUCUGAUUAGUUCCCACCUACAGGAGACAGAUGGAAGGACAAAAAGAGAAAAAUGUUUUGAUAAAAGACUAUCCUUAGAGCCCUUGAGAAUGACAAUGGAGAAGCAAAUAAUGCCAUCUCGAGAUCAGUUCUAAUGUACUAGCGGUUGAAAUGUACUAGUAUAAUCUUAAGAAGGGUUCUGAAGUAUUGUUCAGAGAAUGUGAGUUGAUCACAUAAUGUAGGCUAUCACACAUAACAAAAUAAGAAUUAUGCUCCCAAUAGCCAAUUUCACCUAGGAAUAAUCUUCUAUAUUAUCCAAAAUACCAUUCUAGACAUUAACCACAAAGCAUGUAAUGGGAAAUGGACAUGAGAUAAUGGGCAAGCUUUGAAUGCCAAACGCAAGAGGGGAUAGAUUUUUUAAGUGUUUUUUUUUUUUUUUCUUUUUAAAAGACAUGAAAUGUCAAGACAAAAACCCACAUUAUUGUAAAGAAUGAAAAGCAUCUUGGGAACAGAUGUUCCUUAUAAAUGAAAAAAAAAAAAAUGAGAACUUUCCCAGGAAACAUAGCACUGAUUGUGUAUACAAUUGAGAACAUGAAAUGUGGAGUGAAUCCCCUGCUUCUGGGGUCUAGGUUUACAAAUUGUUUUUAAAAAAAGACUAAAUAAUCUGGCUGAAAAGCCCAUGAGAGUAUUUCAGGCAUGGAAAGCCAAGACACUCUGGGAGAAAAAAAAAAAAACCUAAAUGAAAGCUCUCCGUGAAUGAGAUCCCAGUGGAAAGAUCCGGCCAUCAAAGAAGGAGGUACCUUCUCUGAAGGGA
rnacentral:lncRNA from 1 species